AGUGAACGCUGGCGGUAGGCCUAACACAUGCAAGUCGAACGGCAGCACAGGAGAGCUUGCUCUCUGGGUGGCGAGUGGCGGACGGGUGAGGAAUACAUCGGAAUCUACUCUGUCGUGGGGGAUAACGUAGGGAAACUUACGCUAAUACCGCAUACGACCUACGGGUGAAAGCAGGGGAUCUUCGGACCUUGCGCGAUUGAAUGAGCCGAUGUCGGAUUAGCUAGUUGGCGGGGUAAAGGCCCACCAAGGCGACGAUCCGUAGCUGGUCUGAGAGGAUGAUCAGCCACACUGGAACUGAGACACGGACCAGACACCUACGGGAGGCAGCAGUGGGGAAUAUUGGACAAUGGCGCAAGCCUGAUCCAGCCAUACCGCGUGGGUGAAGAAGGCCUUCGGGUUGUAAAGCCCUUUUGUUGGGAAAGAAAUCCAGCUGGCUAAUACCCGGUUGGGAUGACGGUACCCAAAGAAUAAGCACCGGCUAACUUCGUGCCAGCAGCCGCGGUAA
rnacentral:rRNA from 1 species